rnacentral:tRNA from 1 species
GGUUGCAUAGCUCAGCUGGAUAGAGCAACUGCCUUCUAAGCAGUAGGUCUUUGGUUCGAAUCCAAAUGCGACCAC